GAUGAAGAACGUAGCGAAAUGCGAUAAGUAAUGUGAAUUGCAGAAUCCAGUGAAUCAUCGAAUCUUUGAACGCACAUUGCGCCCGCCAGCAUUCUGGCGGGCAUGCCUGUUCGAGCGUCAUUUCAACCCUCGACCUCCCUUUGGGGAAGUCGGCGUUGGGGACCGGCAGCACACCGCCGGCCCUGAAAUGGAGUGGCGGCCCGUCCGCGGCGACCUCUGCGUAGUAAACCAACUCGCACCGGAACCCCGACGUGGCCACGCCGUAAAACACCCAACUUCUGAACGUUGACCUCGAAUCAGGUAGGACUACCCGCUGAACUUAAGCAUAUCAAUAAGCGGAGGU
rnacentral:misc_RNA from 1 species